UCUCUGGUCUGUAACUGACGCUGAGGUGCGAAAGCGUGGGUAGCGAACAGGAUUAGAUACCCUGGUAGUCCACGCCGUAAACGAUGAGUGCUAGGUGUUAGGGGGUUUCCGCCCCUUAGUGCUGAAGUUAACGCAUUAAGCACUCCGCCUGGGGAGUACGGCCGCAAGGCUGAAACUCAAAAGAAUUGACGGGGACCCGCACAAGCGGUGGAGCAUGUGGUUUAAUUCGAAGCAACGCGAAGAACCUUACCAGGUCUUGACAUCCUCUGACACCCCUAGAGAUAGGGCAUUCCCUUCGGGGACAGAGUGACAGGUGGUGCAUGGUUGUCGUCAGCUCGUGUCGUGAGAUGUUGGGUUAAGUCCCGCAACGAGCGCAACCCUUGAUCUUAGUUGCCAGCAUUUAGUUGGGCACUCUAAGGUGACUGCCGGUGACAAACCGGAGGAAGGUGGGGAUGACGUCAAAUCAUCAUGCCCCUUAUGACCUGGGCUACACACGUGCUACAAUGGAUGGAACAAAAGGCAGCGAAGCCGCGAGGCCAAGCAAAUCCCAUAAAACCAUUCUCAGUUCGGAUUGCAGGCUGCAACUCGCCUGCAUGAAGCCGGAAUCGCUAGUAAUCGCGGAUC
rnacentral:rRNA from 1 species